rnacentral:rRNA from 1 species
AUUGAACGCUGGCGGCAGGCUUAACACAUGCAAGUCGAGCGGAGUGAUGGUGCUUGCACUAUCACUUAGCGGCGGACGGGUGAGUAAUGCUUAGGAAUCUGCCUAUUAGUGGGGGACAACAUCUCGAAAGGGAUGCUAAUACCGCAUACGUCCUACGGGAGAAAGCAGGGGAUCACUUGUGACCUUGCGCUAAUAGAUGAGCCUAAGUCGGAUUAGCUAGUUGGUGGGGUAAAGGCCUACCAAGGCGACGAUCUGUAGCGGGUCUGAGAGGAUGAGCCGCCACACUGGGACUGAGACACGGCCCAGAUUCCUACGGGAGGCAGCAGUGGGGAAUAUUGGACAAUGGGGGGAACCCUGAUCCAGCCAUGCCGCGUGUGUGAAGAAGGCCUUAUGGUUGUAAAGCACUUUAAGCGAGGAGGAGGCUCUUUUGGUUAAUACCCAAGAUGAGUGGACGUUACUCGCAGAAUAAGCACCGGCUAACUCUGUGCCAGCAGCCGCCGUAA